rnacentral:rRNA from 1 species
CACGUAGGGUGCGAGCGUUGUCCGGAAUUAUUGGGCGUAAAGAGCUCGUAGGCGGUGUGUCGCGUCGGCCGUGAAAACCUGCAGCUUAACUGUGGGCUUGCGGUCGAUACGGGCAUCACUGGAGUUCGGCAGGGGAGACUGGAAUUCCUGGUGUAGCGGUGAAAUGCGUAGAUAUCAAGAGGAACACCUGCGGCGAAGGCGGGUUGCUGGGCCGACACUGACGCUGAAGUGCGAAAGCUAGGGGAGCGAACGGG